rnacentral:rRNA from 1 species
AGUGAACGCUGGCGGCGUGCCUAAUACAUGCAAGUCGAACGGAGAUUAAGUAGCUUGCUAUUUAAUCUUAGUGGCGCACGGGUGAGUAAUAUAUAGCUAACUUGCCCAUUACUAAGGGACAACAGUUGGAAACGACUGCUAAUACCUUAUACUCCGUAUCUAUAUAAGUAGAUACGGGAAAGUUUUUCGGUAAUGGAUAGGGCUAUAUCGUAUCAGCUAGUUGGUAAGGUAAUGGCUUACCAAGGCUAUGACGCGUAACUGGUCUGAGAGGAUGAUCAGUCACACUGGAACUGAGACACGGUCCAGACUCCUACGGGAGGCAGCAGUAGGGAAUAUUGCUCAAUGGGGGAAACCCUGAAGCAGCAACGCCGCGUGGAGGAUGACACUUUGCGGAGCGUAAACUCCUUUUCUUGGGAAAGAAUUAUGACGGUACCCAAGGAAUAAGCACCGGCUAACUCCGUG